rnacentral:tRNA from 1 species
GUGGCUGUAGCUCAGUUGGUUAGAGCGUCAGAUUGUGGUCCUGAAGGUCGCCGGUUCGAUCCCGGUCAGCCACC